CCAUACGAUAUUCUGCGUGAACUCGAUUUCGACUCAAGACAAGAUGAAGAAUUGUAGUCGAAUGAAAAUUUUAACCGGCGAACACCUUUUUCCUCAUCUUGUAAUAGAGGAAUGUGUUCGACCGUGAGAAGUGUACUGUAAAGCGCGAGUGCAAUUUCAAUUAACGAAAGGUUUUCAUUUUUCAUUCGUGAAACCUAAAGCAGAGAAGAGAAAUUGUUCCUGUGAAUGGAAGAAGAGAACGAAAGUUUGCCUCGUCUUUCUUUUCUUCGAUUCAAUGAGAUUUAAAAAAAACGUGAUUUCUUUCCAAUUGCUAUUACAACAGCAAUUUACAAUAUCAAAAUUUAACGAACACUGACUCUGUUUUAUACACGUUAAAAAAUUUUUUCCUUUUCCUUUUCUUGUCCAAUUAUCAUUUAAUAGAGGAAAUUGUAUCUCGAUAUAAUAAAUCGUCAACCAACGAUUCAUUUUUUUCACGCGACACGUUAGAAUAGUGAUCGAUCCCCAAAUUCGGGAAGCAAACGUCUCCUCUUUUUUAUACGCACGGGUAUAAAGUAGUCACAGCGAAAUGGCGAUUCGUUGGGCAAUCGUGUUUCGAUCGUAUUACAACACCCUACAAUGGCACCGUGUAAUUUCACUCUCGCCAGGAGAUCGCAAUUGCACAAUUUUCGUCGCGCCAGACGAGACAUUCGGGCGGACCUAGAAAGCGUCUAGGAAAUGCUAAUUCGCCAACAAUCGCUGCUCUUACGUUUACGAAUACGAUCCGCGAUUAAUCGCGAAUCUGUCGACAUCGACACGCGGACAAAUCUCUCACAAGUUUCCAAAUUUUUUACGAAUUCGAAAUUUGCACGAGUCGGAGGAAAUUUUUGAGAAUUAGAAACCUAAUCCUUUUCUUAAAUGUUAAUUCGAAAAAUUGUGAAAAUAAUUUUCAUCUUGUUUAUUCUACGAUUCUCAUUCUAUUAAAAUAUUUAUACAGGAACAAGCGAAUAUGGAAUAUUGGAAUUUUUCUUAUUUCUCGAAAUUUGAUCGAAUUAAGAAAAGGAGAGAGGAGAGCAACACGGUUGGAAUCGGUGUAAUAGCUUCGGAAAGAUUGGAAGGAAAGAAUUCGAAACUUUUACAAUAAUUUUCAAACAGGAUGGUGAAACGCAACAAGGCAAAAUGAAGUGGCUGCGAGGCACUGGUGUAUCCGAGAAAACAAAAGACAGAGUUUUGUCUGACGUCGAGAUUUUAUUUCCAUCGAGAAGAAAUAUCCAUUAAACCAAAGAGAACACGAUCUCGUUAGGUGGUUAACUGACCCGAUAACGGUUCCCGGAGAGAGAGAAACGGUUAUCGACACGCCAGACCCAGAGAAAACGGAAAGAUAAAACGUGAAAAAAGACGUGAGAGUAAAAAAGUGAAAAGGAGCGAAGAAGGAUGAAAGGCAGGCAGUGUGGUGCGAGGAGGGGGGAGGGAACAGAGGACAAAACUUCUAUUCUAUUCAUUUUCAUCCGGAUAAAUACCGAAUAAUCGCACGCUUUCGUUUCGAAUUAUAACGUUUUUUCGCGAAACUCGUCGACGAAACUAAUUUCGUUGUUUUUUUCAUACAGACACCCGUUUGUAUUAUCACGCUUCCACUUCUGGUGGAAAGUGGUAAUGCAAAUGAAAAGUGUUCCGUUUCUUCCUGUUGCGCGCACGUUUCGCGGACGGAUAAAGCCGGAUGCUUUCUUUGCAAACUUUAUGCAAAUUAUCGCCUCGAAUAAAAAUCUCGAAAAACCUCUUUGUUGUUA